UGGAUAACCAUGGUAAUUCUAUGGCUAAUACAUGCGCAAUCGCCUCCUUCUCUGGAGGGGCUGUGUUUAUUAGAUACAAAACCAACCCACUUUGUGGAGUCCUGGUGAUUCAUAGUAACCGAACGGAUCGCAGUUGGCUUCGGCCCGCGAUGGAUCUUUCAAGUUUCUGACCUAUCAGCUUUCGACGGUAGGGUAUUGGCCUACCGUGGCAGUGACGGGUAACGGGGAAUUAGGGUUCGAUUCCGGAGAGGGAGCCUGAGAAACGGCUACCACAUCUAAGGAAGGCAGCAGGCGCGCAAAUUACCCAAUGAAAACAGUUUCGAGGUAGUGACGAGAAAUAACAAUACAGGGCAUUUUAUGCUCUGUAAUUGGAAUGAUGGGAAUGUAAAACCCUUUCAGAGUAACAAUUGGAGGGCAAGUCUGGUGCCAGCAGCCGCGGUAAUUCCAGCUCCAAUAGUGUAUAUUAGAGUUGUUGCAGUUAAAAAGCUCGUAGUUGGAUUUCUGUCGUGGUCAUCCGGUUCCGCCCGUAUGGGUGCGCACCUGGUUUGCCCUCGACUUUCUUCCGGUAGCCUUCCGCGCUUCACUGCGUGUGUUGGUGUUCCGGAACUUUUACUUUGAGAAAAAUAGAGUGUUUCAAGCAGGCUUGUUGCCCUGAAUACUUCAGCAUGGAAUAAUAAGAUAGGACCCUGGUUCUAUUUUGUUGGUUUCUAGGACCGAGGUAAUGAUUAAUAGGGACAGUUGGGGGCAUUCGUAUUUAACUGUCAGAGGUGAAAUUCUUAGAUUUGUUAAAGACGAACUACUGCGAAAGCAUUUGCCAAGGAUGUUUUCAUUAAUCAAGAACGACAGUAGGGGGUUUGAAGACGAUUAGAUACCGUCGUAAUCUCUACCAUAAACUAUGCCGACUAGAGAUAGGGAAACGCCUACCUUGGCUUCUCCUGCACCUCAUGAGAAAUCAAAGUCUCUGGGUUCUGGGGGGAGUAUGGUCGCAAGGCUGAAACUUAAAGGAAUUGACGGAAGGGC
rnacentral:rRNA from 1 species